GACGAACGCUGGCGGCGUGCUUAACACAUGCAAGUCGAACGGAAAGGCCCUGCUUUUGUGGGGUGCUCGAGUGGCGAACGGGUGAGUAACACGCGAGUAACCUGCCCUUGACUUUCGGAUAACUUCAGGAAACUGGGGCUAAUACCGGAUAGGAGCUCCUGCUGCAUGGUGGGGGUUGGAAAGUUUCGGCGGUUGGGGAUGGACUCGCGGCUUAUCAGCUUGUUGGUGGGGUAGUGGCUUACCAAGGCUUUGACGGGUAGCCGGCCUGAGAGGGUGACCGGCCACAUUGGGACUGAGAUACGGCCCAGACUCCUACGGGAGGCAGCAGUGGGGAAUAUUGCACAAUGGGCGGAAGCCUGAUGCAGCAACGCCGCGUGCGGGAUGACGGCCUUCGGGUUGUAAACCGCUUUCGCCUGUGACGAAGCGUGAGUGACGGUAAUGGGUAAAGAAGCACCGGCUAACUACGUG
rnacentral:rRNA from 1 species